UGCAAUUGUCUUCGGAUGGAGCACUCUGAUAGGACUGCCUGGGAAACCAGGAGGAAGGUGGGGACGACGUCAAGUCAUCAUGGUCCUUAUGUCUAGGGCUACACACGUGUUACAAUGGCCAGUACAAAGGGCAGCGAUACCGCGAGGUGGAGCAAAUCCCAUAAAGCUGGUCUAAGUUCGGAUUAGGGUCUGCAACUCGACCCUAUGACGUUGAAAUCGCUAGUAAUCGCGUAUCAGCAACGACGCGGUGAAUACGUUCUCGGACCUUGUACACACCGCCCGUCACACCACGAAAGUCGUUUGUACCCAAAGUUGUUUUAGCUAACCUGUAAAGGGGGCGAACACCUAAGGUAUGGAUGGUAAUUGGGGUG
rnacentral:rRNA from 1 species